CUGGGUUCUCAGUUCUAGAGGGUGGAGUCCAUCAUGGCAGCAAGAAGCAGAAGGUUUGAACUUACAUCUUCAGACACUAGCAUGAAGCAGAGAGGGCCAACUAAAAGCGGUGUGAGCUCGACAACAAGGUUGAUCAAGGGAUGUACUGCCAAGGCUGUUCAGGAGCACAGAGGCACACAGAGCAAAGUGUUUUGAUCGUGACAGAAGGCAAAGAAGACAAGAGGAAGGGACUGGUGUCCCAAACAUCCCUUCAAGAGGCUGCCACCAAAGACCUAAAGACCUCCCUUCAGACCCACCACCUAAAGGGCUCAUGGCCUCCCACAGUGCCACCCUGCACACUAGGCCUUUGGCACAUGGGCCUUGAGGGAGCAGUCAACAUGGAAACUGUAGCAACUCUCAUAUAAAUUUAGAAUAAUUUGGUCAAGUUUUUCAAAAUUCUUCUUUGAUAUUAAUUGGGUUUAAUUGAUUCUCUAAAUAAAAUUGGAAAGAAUCUUUGUAAAAUUGA